rnacentral:rRNA from 1 species
CCCUUAGAUGUUCUGGGCCGCACGCGCGCUACACUGACGGAGGCAGCGAGCACGUCCUUCGCCGAGAGGUGUGGGGAAUCUUGUGAGUCUCCGUCGUGCUGGGGAUAGAUGGUUGCAAUUGUCGAUCUUGAACGAGGAAUUCCUAGUAAGCGCGAGUCAUCAGCUCGCGCUGAUUACGUCCCUGCCCUUUGUACACACCGCCCGUCGCUACUACCGAUUGGAUGGUUUAGCGAGAGCCUUGGAUUGGAGCCCAGGUGGUCGGCAACGGCCGCUCGGGAUUCCGAGAAAUUGUUCCAGCUGACUCAUCUAGAGGAAGUAAAAGUCGUAACA